rnacentral:rRNA from 1 species
UACGUAGGGUGCGAGCGUUAAUCGGAAUUACUGGGCGUAAAGCGUGCGCAGGCGGUUCGUCGUGUCCGAUGUGAAAGCCCCGGGCUCAACCUGGGAAUGGCAAUGGAUACUGGCAAGCUAGAGUGCGGUAGAGGGUAGUGGAAUUCCCGGUGUAGCGGUGAAAUGCGUAGAGAUCGGGAGGAACACCAGUGGCGAAGGCGGCUACCUGGACCAGCACUGACACUGAGGCACGAAAGCGUGGGGAGCAAACAGG